AUUGAACGCUGGCGGCAGGCCUAACACAUGCAAGUCGAAUGGUAACAGGAAACAGCUUGCUGUUUCGCUGACGAGUGGCGGACGGGUGAGUAAUGUCUGGGAAACUGCCUGAUGGAGGGGGAUAACUACUGGAAACGGUAGCUAAUACCGCAUAACGUCGCAAGACCAAAGAGGGGGACCUUCGGGCCUCUGGCCAUCAGAUGUGCCCAGAUGGGGUUGGCUAGUAGGUGGGGUAACGGCUCACCUAGGCGACGAUCCCUAGCUGGUCUGAGAGGAGGACAGCCCGCCUUGGAACGGAGCCAGGGUCAAGACUCCUACGGGAGGCACCAGUGGGGAAUAUUGCACAAUGGGGGGAAGCAUGAUGCAGCCAGGCCGCGUGUAUGAAGAAGGCCUUCGGGUUGUAAAGUACUUCCAGCGGGGAGGAAGGGAGUAAAGUUAAUACCUUUGCUCAUUGACGUUACCCGCAGAAGAAGCACCGGCUAACUCCGUG
rnacentral:rRNA from 1 species